CCCUGACAAUGGUGAUCAUAAUUGGUACAGUGGCAGCGACACUACACAAACAGGACCUAUCAGAGUCCUUCUCUACAUUUAUAUUCAGGACAUACCGUGUGUAUUUGAUAUUCAUUGAGAGAACUUGCUUUUUCCACUGUUCUUGCUGAGCAAGGAUCAUACAAGCCUGGCUGAGUGUAAAAAGCCUGACUGUAAUGAGAAAAAAUGAGAGCAAAGAAAAGAGAGAGGAAACGUUACUUAAAUACCUGAUUCUAUCCACGUCCCAUGCCUACUCCUGGUUUCCCAGUUAGAUGAGCCGGUAUAUUUCUUCUCUUUCAGCUUAACCUAGCUUGAGUUUGAUUUCUGUCACUUGCACCCAAGAAUCUGGACUUAUACAAGAGUCCCUUUGUGUCCUUUGUCGACCAGAUUCUGCCGGAACCCAGGCUCAGAGUUGCUUUCAUUCUCCACGUGCACUUUGCUGAUCCUUUUCUCAUCAAAGGGAAGGCAGGAUUUGUUAUCAUCAAACCUCCCACGGCCCAGGCAUAUGCUUCCUUGAUCUCUCUUCCAGGUUUUCCUAGCUAAAAACCUCAGUUUUCUUAUCUCUAAAAUGAGAAGAGCUGCUGUGAAAUCAUUUCGUACAGUAUCUAACGCUGUUUGGCUGUUUGCAGGUGCUUGGCGAUGUUAGCUCCCAGCAUGGAAAAUUCUCUCUGUGGUGCCUGAAUUUUCAAAUGACCAUCACUUGCGCUUCCAUUCAGCAGUUAGAGUGUCAGCCCAGGAGGACAGAAAGUCAGGGCGAUGUUCGUGGUCCUGCGACUACAGUAUUUAUUGUGGUCAUUUCAGACACUGGCAGCACGAGGGGCGUAAAUGGUUGGGCGUUUACUUCUUAAUUGGUUUCAGGCCCUGGCUCACCCCAUGUCCAUUCCCAUUAAUCAGUAACUGGAGACAGCCGUCUACCAGGGGUUUUUAUGGUGUUUUAAUGCCAUUUUAUUUUCCUAAAAUGUCAGUUCAACAGCCAAGGAAACCUACUCCCACAGUCCUUGGAGGUUGUUUCGAACUGAAAUCACCACCACCAUGGUCGGCUGAGCGCUAAAUGAAAAAGAGCGUUACAGGUCAAAUUAAUAUUUUAGGGAAGAAAAUGUGCAAACCUGCGCUGGCAUGCCCGCCAGCGUGAUCUCGGGCCUUAGCCACAAAGCCACAGAGUGACAACUGAAAGGCUGGAGCCACUCAAGGCCAUCAGUUAGGGCGCUGAAAUCCAAGAGAGGGGGAGAAAGGAUAACGGUGAAUGGGUCUCUCUUCAUCAACUGUGGUGGACUGGAGGGCAAGAGAAGACGGGACGGAUGACAUUUUUAAAUGGAUUCAUUUUGUGAGAGGACCGCUGAAUGAAAAGCAGUGGAUUGGGCCUUACUAGAAACCACAAGUGAAGCCUUAAGAAAAAAAUAAGAUAUUGUGGAUGAAUGAUGAUGAGAGAGAAAGCAACUUGACAGCAGCAGGUUA
rnacentral:lncRNA from 1 species